rnacentral:tRNA from 1 species
GCGAGUGUAGCCGAAUCGGUAUAGGCAGCAGACUUAAAAUUUGCCGGUGCUAACGCGCCAUGUGAGUUCGAUCCUCACCACUCGCA